GAUGAACGCUGGCGGCGUGCCUAAUACAUGCAAGUCGAGCGAACAGACGAGGAGCUUGCUCCUCUGACGUUAGCGGCGGACGGGUGAGUAACACGUGGAUAACCUACCUAUAAGACUGGGAUAACUUCGGGAAACCGGAGCUAAUACCGGAUAAUAUAUUGAACCGCAUGGUUCAAUAGUGAAAGACGGUUUUGCUGUCACUUAUAGAUGGAUCCGCGCCGCAUUAGCUAGUUGGUAAGGUAACGGCUUACCAAGGCAACGAUGCGUAGCCGACCUGAGAGGGUGAUCGGACACACUGGAACUGAGACACGGUCCAGACUACUACGGGAGGCAGCAGUAGGGAAUCUUCCGCAAUGGGCGAAAGCCUGACGGAGCAACGCCGCGUGAGUGAUGAAGGUCUUCGGAUCGUAAAACUCUGUUAUUAGGGAAGAACAAAUGUGUAAGUAACUAUGCACGUCUUGACGGUACCUAAUCAGAAAGCCACGGCUAACUACGUG
rnacentral:rRNA from 1 species